rnacentral:rRNA from 1 species
UACGGAGGGUGCGAGCGUUAAUCGGAAUUACUGGGCGUAAAGCGUGCGCAGGCGGUUCGCUAAGACAGAUGUGAAAUCCCCGGGCUUAACCUGGGAACUGCAUUUGUGACUGGCGGGCUAGAGUAUGGCAGAGGGGGGUAGAAUUCCACGUGUAGCAGUGAAAUGCGUAGAGAUGUGGAGGAAUACCGAUGGCGAAGGCAGCCCCCUGGGCCAAUACUGACGCUCAUGC